rnacentral:rRNA from 1 species
AACGGGUGAGUAACACGUGAGUAACCUGCCCCCGACUUCGGGAUAACCGCGAGAAAUCGUGGCUAAUACCGGAUAUGACGUCCCGCCGCAUGGUGGGGUGUGGAAAGACUGUGUCGGUUGGGGAUGGGCUCGCGGCCUAUCAGCUUGUUGGUGGGGUGAUGGCCUACCAAGGCGACGACGGGUAGCCGGCCUGAGAGGGUGACCGGCCACACUGGGACUGAGACACGGCCCAGACUCCUACGGGAGGCAGCAGUGGGGAAUAUUGCACAAUGGGCGCAAGCCUGAUGCAGCGACGCCGCGUGAGGGAUGACGGCCUUCGGGUUGUAAACCUCUUUCAGUAGGGAAGAAGCCCUUCGGGGUGACGGUACCUGCAGAAGAAGCGCCGGCUAACUACGUGCCAGCAGCCGCGGUAAUACGUAGGGCGCAAGCGUUGUCCGGAAUUAUUGGGCGUAAAGAGCUCGUAGGCGGUCUGUCGCGUCUGCUGUGAAAACGCGGGGCUCAACCCCGCGCCUGCAGUGGGUACGGGCAGACUAGAGUGCGGUAGGGGAGACUGGAAUUCCUGGUGUAGCGGUGGAAUGCGC